rnacentral:misc_RNA from 1 species
AAAAUGCGAUACGCAAUGCGAAUUGCAGAAUUCCGCGAAUCAUCAGAUUCUUGAACGCAACUGGCGCUGGAGGGAUAUCCUUUCAGCAUGUCUGUUUCAGUGUCUGAUAACUUCCAAAUUAACAUAAUGUGUUUGACAAGGAGUAGUUCUUAUGACCUAUCUUCCAAGUCUUACAUUAAAGAUGUAUGUGUGGGUCUUUGGAUCCAUCGAAUUGGUCACUGACUCUUCAGUGAUUUCGAUUGGAUUAUCCAAUUACUCGAAUGCACAUAGAAAUCAUUAUUUCAUCUUUAACAUCUGCAUCUGAAAUCAGGCAAGAUUACCCGCUGAACUUAA